AUGUUUGCACCCGCAGUGAUGCAUGCUUUUCGCAAGAACAAGACUCUCGCUAUGGAGUCCCCAUGUUGCUGCUGAUUGUUGGAGGUUCUUUUGGUCUUCAUGAGUUUUCUCAAAUCCAAUAUGAUGCUGUGAAGAUUAAAAUGGAUCCUGAGCUUGAAAAAAAACUGAAAGAGAAUAGAAUAUCUUUAGAGUCGGAAUAUGAGAAUAUAAAAGACUCCAAGUUUGAUGACUGGAAGAAUAUUCGAGGACCCAGGCCUUGGGAAGAUCCUGACUUCCUCCAAGGAAGAAAUCCAGAAAGCCUUAAGACUAAGACAACUUGACUCUGCUGAUUCUUUUUUCCUUUUUUUAUAAAAAAAUAAAAAUGUUAUCAACUGGA